AACGAACGCUGGCGGCAGGCUUAACACAUGCAAGUCAAGCGCCCCGCAAGGGGAGCGGCAGACGGGUGAGUAAAGCGUGGGAAUCUACCCAUCUCUACGGAAUAACGCAUGGAAACGUGUGCUAAUACCGUAUACGUCCUUCGUGUGAAAGAUUUAUCGCAGAUGGAUGAGCCCGCGUUGGAUUAGCUAGUUGGUGGCGUAAAGGCCUACCAAGGCGACGAUCCAUAGCUGGUCUGAGAGGAUGAUCAGCCACACUGGGACUGAGACACGGCCCAGACUCCUACGGGAGGCAGCAGUGGGGAAUAUUGGACAAUGGGCGCAAGCCUGAUCCAGCCAUGCCGCGUGAGUGAUGAAGGCCCUAGGGUUGUAACGCUCUUUCACCGGUGAAGAUAAUGGCGGUAACCGGAGAAGAAGCCCCGGCUAACUUCGUGCCAGCCGCCGCCGUAACAC
rnacentral:rRNA from 1 species